UUGCCUUCUAAAGCCUCUUGGAUUUGACUGGAUUAAAGGUUCUACCAAGAUUGGGGAGAUUUUGAAAAAUCCAAAUAGCCGCAUAAGGAGGGUUAUUGAUGAUGAGUUUCCAACUGGUGAUAAGCCUUUUGUUUGGGCAUUUAAUCUACAAGCACCUGGCAAGGAUAAUUAUAGUGUCGUGGCCUAUUUUGUUGCCACAGAACCAAUUCCAGAGGGAUCCUUGAUGGACCAGUUGUUGAGAGGGGAUGAUGGGUUCAGAAAUUCAAGGCUCAAACUGAUUGCCAACAUUGUCAAUGGCCCCUGGAUUGUAAGAACGGCAGUUGGGGAGCAGGCUGUAUGCAUAAUUGGACGUGCCCUUACCUGUAGAUACUGUGUAGCUGAGAAUUUUUUUGAAGUAGAUGUGGAUAUUGGAUCUUCUGUGGUUGCAAGUGCAAUAGUUCAUCUUGCAUUUGCAUCACAAUGCUGACUGUCGACUUGGCUUUUCUCAUUGAGGGUCAGACUGAGUUGGAGCUUCCAGAACGACUCUUAGGUGCUGUCAGAUUCUCUGAGCUAAACCCUGCUUCUGCUCACUCAUUUGAACCAUCGUCAUAUGGAAGUGCUGAUAGUUUGCAGUCAUCAUUUUCAACACUUUUCUGGAAAUCUAUUGGCCAGGGGUUUUCUCAAUUUCUUAAUCCAGGUGCUCAAGAGGGUGUUUCUACCACUGGCUUGGCCCAUGUUAAUGGAACUUCCAAUCAUGAAGACUGUAGUGAUGAUACAAAGAAAUGACGAAUCAGCUCCUACUGGUCGACUGUGCAUACAUUGCCAUAAGAAAAGCUUAAUCCUAGAUUAUGGAGGAUGACUCAAGUGGCAAAGCAUCCA
rnacentral:misc_RNA from 1 species